CCUACGGGGUGCUGCAGUGGGGAAUAUUGGACAAUGGGCGAAAGCCUGAUCCAGCCAUGCCGCGUGUGUGAAGAAGGCCUUCGGGUUGUAAAGCACUUUCAGUGGGGAAGAAAGCCUUGGGGCUAAUACCCUCGAGGAAGGACAUCACCCACAGAAGAAGCACCGGCUAACUCCGUGCCAGCAGCCGCGGUAAUACGGAGGGUGCGAGCGUUAAUCGGAAUUACUGGGCGUAAAGCGCGCGUAGGCGGUCUGAUAAGCCGGUUGUGAAAGCCCCGGGCUCAACCUGGGAACGGCAUCCGGAACUGUCAGGCUAGAGUGCAGGAGAGGAAGGUAGAAUUCCCGGUGUAGCGGUGAAAUGCGUAGAGAGCGGGAGGAAUACCAGUGGCGAAGGCGGCCUUCUGGACUGACACUGACGCUGAGGUGCGAAAGCGUGGGUAGCAAACAGGAUUAGAUACCCUAGUAGUC
rnacentral:rRNA from 1 species